rnacentral:rRNA from 1 species
UACGGAGGGGGCUAGCGUUGCUCGGAAUUACUGGGCGUAAAGCGCACGUAGGCGGCUAUUUAAGUCUGGGGUGAAAUCCCGGGGCUCAACCCCGGAACUGCCUUUGAUACUGGGUAUCUGGAGGUCGAGAGAGGCGAGUGGAAUUCCGAGUGUAGAGGUGAAAUUCGUAGAUAUUCGGAGGAACACCAGUGGCGAAGGCGGCUCGCUGGCUCGAUACUGACGCUGAGGUGCGAAAGCGUGGGGAGCAAACAGG